UCAAGUCAUAAUUGUGUUUAUCGUGCAUACCAUAUUAUAAUUAUCAGGUUAUUAUAAUAAAUGCUCACACUGCACUUUCUGGGUUUUAGGACCUUAGCACUUUUACAUAAAUGGUAAAAGCUACUUGUUGCCUGAAAGGGCUGUACAGGCUGAAAUAUAAAUAGAUUAAAGUAAGUUUCAAAUAAAUUCCUGGAGGGCAGAUCGGUAAGGAGUUAUUAAAGUGGAGUUAGGCGUAAUUGGGGCACAUUCCUAACCCAUGACAGUGAUGUCGUGAGGGUGAGUCCCAUAAUCCAGCCUGAGCCAUCUUCUUGGCUCCAUUUGGGCAGGGGCUGACCCUGAGCCCCAGCCCAGAAGCAGUCAGAGGACUGGGCUCCAUGAGGGGUCCUCCUGCCAGCCUCACUCACCUGCCACCUGUCUCGGGAAGGGGGGUCCCCCAAAGUAACAGUCUGCUUUGUGUCAGCUCUGAGUCAUGGGCACAGCUGGGAGCAGACCCAGAUUCCUGCUCUUUUGCUUGCUGCAACUAUCUGCCGGUCACAAUCCUUCCACAUUAGUGGCUGUCACAUUUAUGGCUUUAGUGACAUUUAAUGGAGCUUCAGAGAUGGAGAAGUACUGGGGAGAUAAACAAUCAAAGGCUGCAAUGACACACCAGAGCUUUAUCACCGAAGGGUUAGAAAUGGCCAUGCAUCUCUGUGUCACUCCAGCGGGGACUGACUCCUUUGUUGGAGGAGGACAAGCCUUCACCUGUCUGGAAACCACAAAGGGGAGAGGAGAGAAGACAACAGCAGCCAGCAGCACUUGGAAAUCAUGUUCUCUGUGGCUUCAGCCCCAUCUUUGCUUCAUGCCGUCCCCCUUGUGUACAAUGGCGCUUGCCUGUAACCCUCAAGAGGCUGAGGCAGCAGGACUGCAUUUGAGGUCACCCUGGUCAACACAGUAAGACUCUGUCUCAAAAUCAAAAUAAAAAGGGCAGCAGUGGAACACAUGCCUAGCGUGUGCCAGGCCCUGGACUUAAUCCCCAGUACGGCAGAAUUUAGGAACUGCCAGUUAGAAAUACAGCAGAGUUGUCCCGGUUGGCUGGAGGUAGCAUUGUGUCUAGGCAUCCUGUCUACGUGCCUGCCCCCGACACAGGGAAGAAGGACCACCCUUGCAGAGGGGUAUAUGCAAGGUGGGAGCUACCACUCCCAAACCUGGCAGCCCCAGAAGGCUCAGUCCAUCCACACGGGGUGCAGGAGCACAGGACAGAAAGGACACAGGUGGUGCGGUGGUGGCUUGAGCCUGAGGAGCGGGCAGGAGCUGGUUCCAAACGUCCCCAAAGGUAAGCUGGACGAGCAAGAUGCUCCUGCUACCCCGGACAUGGUGAUAUUCAGCUGAAGAUCAGUAACUAACGUCGGUCAGAGCCUGCAACCAUCUGCCCACCUCGCUUGGUUUCCAGGACAAUCUCCACCAUUCUGUUCAAAACUUUGAGAAGUUGUUGUUGACUCCACUUCUUUCUCGGCACGCUGUUCCCAUGGGGAUUUUCUGUUGUCAUACUGUUGAACGUGGAUCGUGGAGGAGAAAGAAGGUGUUUCUUCUGCACUUGGACAGCUGCGGCCACUGGCAGGAAGGAAACCUGGAGUCCAGGGUGGAGUUGGCAGGGCCGAGGAGGACGAGCUGGCCUUCACAUCCCAAUAGUGGGAUUCUGGAGUCCGGUUGACCUGCGCGCGCCCUGCAGCUCGCCGUGCAUUAGCAGCUAUGCCAAGACAAAAGGACUUUUUCCUUUUGUGCACUGAGAUUGAGGCUGUGCUAUCAACCCUGACGGAGUCUUGUUCUCAUGGAGGCUUCUGCAUGCAUCGAUAGCACAGGAGGGGCGUUUGGAGAUGUUCACGAUUGGUUGCAGAUCUCAUGACUACGGCAAUGGUGAUAAAUGCACCUCGCUGGCCCAGAAGCGAUGGAUGUCGUAAACAUCGAAACCACACAAUUUUUCCACCUGCGCAGAUACAAGCACGUGCUGAGAGGCUGACGCUAAGAAGCAAGGGAUCACAGCCUGGCAAACUCUUCCCAGUGGGUCGGGAUCACUGGGCAGCCGGUGUAGUGGUUAAUCCCGGAGGGCUUCCAAGAGGCGGCUCAGGAACUUCAGGGAGCCUUCGAAGUAGGCUGUGGCUGUGUUAUCCUCACCACCCCAACAGCCAACACUGUCCCGUACACAGGCUGUAAGGCCGGGGUCUGAACGCAGAGGGUGAGAGCGGCCCUCUCUCCCCUGACCUUCUCCUCCUCAAUCCCAGGCCUGGUCCCUUUAAGGCAUCGAAACUCCAUGAACAUUCUACGCUCAACUUCCCCGCGGCGCGCUGACGUCACCCUUCGGUGAAACACUGACGUCAGCGCGCUCUCCGCGAAGGGGCGGGGCCGGUGACUCACCGCCGCCGCGCCCUGGCCCCGCCCCCGGCCGCGCGUGCCCGGGAGCGCGUGCCACGCUCGCGGCUGUGUUUCGCUCCACCAGAGCCGUGCGAGGGGAAGGCGGUUGGGGGGCGCGAGGGUCCUAGGCCUUCGCUGCCCGGCCGCCGGUUCUGGAAAGUUCUUCAAUGAACGGGCGCGUCCCUCGUGACCUUGGGCGGAGAGGUCGCCGCGGGCCCCUCUGGGGUCAGGCCGAGCGCGGCGACCUGAAGGUCACCAGGUCCCAUGGGAGUGCUUCGAGGCCCUGAGGAGGGACAAGUCCAUGAGAAUCUGCAGCAGAGAAUCUGCCCCCACUCUUUCCUGGUUUACCUCACCAUGAAAACCAUCACAGCCCCAAAGACUUCACGGUUCACCAUGAAGGUUGCCAACUAGUAGAGAGAGUGUGAUUCUUCAGCUCUGGGAAGUCGAUGGCUAACUGACCGCACUGAUAACAUCUCCCUGAACUAAACUAUGAAAGAGAUCUUGCUUUACGAUCUGUUGUGUAAGAUCCUCCCGGCAAAGCAUGUUAUCUUUCCAACAUCUUUCAGUAAAUGGGAAUGUUAAUGUGGAAUAAAGUGAAGGAGAGAGCUUA